GUGAAUCAUCGAAUUUUUGAACGCAAAUUGCGCUUCCUGGUAUCCCGGGGAGUAUGCCUGUUUGAGGGUCAGUAUUAACAAAAAAUCGGUUUGGUUGCAAAUUGUGACGUUUCAGGAGGUUGGGCUUUAUUAACUUUUUUGGUUAAGAGUCAUAAAUUUGUCCUUUGUUGCGCAUUUUUUGACGUGCAUAAAUUUUUUUUUAUUCGUAUUUUUUUAUUGCAAAAAUCUGAUUAGAUGCGAUCACAUCGUGUGGUUUCACGUCCAUAAAAUGUUCAUGUUUUGAC
rnacentral:misc_RNA from 1 species